rfam:Mus musculus chromosome 7, GRC primary reference assembly.
UUACCAGUCAAGCUCCUGGAUGGUAUCCAUCUCUCACCUGGUUCCAGGCUCUAGCCAUGGCUUGACUGCAUG